rnacentral:sRNA from 2 species
ACCGCCCUUGUUGGGGAGUAGCCUGCUCGUGACCCUGGUCACUGAGCGUUCGUAUCAACAUUCUCGGCAGCAUGCCGUGGUACGAACACCUUCUGGUUGGCGAGACCAACGAUGCAUCCAUGCCUAAAGUCGGGCGUGUGGUUGCGUCGUUGACUCAUAGCCCGACUGGA